rnacentral:SRP_RNA from 1 species
GCCAGGCAUGAUGACUCACGCCUGUAAUCCCAGCACUUUGGGAGGCCGAGGCAGGCGGAUCACCUGAGGUCAGGAGUUCAAGACCAGCCUGGCCAACAUGGUGAGACCCUGUCUCUA